CAGCAGCCGAAGCGACAUGGUCAUCGGGAGCCACAUCGACGGUAGCGCCUCCAUCCUUGGAGAAGAGAAGGAAGGAGCUAGAGAGGAGAAAGAGGGAGAGACAGAUACAUUGGGGUAAGGAUUAGUACGUACAUACGUACGUUUAGUAUUUAGUACGCACUACGCAGUUACUGCUGUGCUAUGGUUCUCUGCUUUGUUGAAGUUUCUCUGGUCGCUUUUUAAACGUACCUAAAAGAACAAUCAUACGAAUCUUUUACAUGCUUUCAAUCAGUCAUCACGGUGUCUAGUUCGCCGCAGUACUUAUUCAACUUCCAACCACAAAGGGCAGAAGUUACAUUGCAUCGCACAAUUCGUUUACAGGUACUCGGAGAUGCCGCCGCCGUAGCUGCUGUUUGCCCGCAGCAAAUUGGUCGCAGUUCUUCCAACGUCAUUGCCCGGACUCCCCCUGUUCACCAGGGGGAGUCCACCGUCCCCUGGGACAGCGCGGCCUCCCACCGCCCCCGGGGUCCCAGGGGACCCAGUCCCCGAGGACA
rnacentral:misc_RNA from 1 species